GCGCUCUAAAGUCACCCAGGCUGGCAGAUGCAUCUCCUUGUGGCUGCAGGACUGGGGGCUGCGGCUCCUGACUGGGUGGAGGCCACCCAGACCCUAGAGGUCACCUGCAGUUCUCCAUGUCCAUUUGGGCUUCCCACCAUUGUUCUUACUUCAGGCCAGCCAAGAGCAUCUCUGCCCAGAGAGACAGAGAAUUAUCUAAUGUCACGUGACCGCGACAGCGACAUCCAUCACCUUUGCCAUAAUCCAUGGGUUAGAAGCCGAGUUACAGGUCCCACCCACACUCAGAGGAGGGGACCACACAAAGGAGUGAAAGCAGGAGGUGGGGUCACAGGGGCAUCUUGCAGUCUGUCCUCCACAGUCAGUUUAGUGGUAUUGAGAUAAAUGCCAGACUCUUAAACUCCUAAUUUCUUAAUUUCAAAUGGAGAUCCUCUAGGACUAGGGGCCUGGAUUUCAGAGAGGUCCUACCUAGGAAGCAGGAGGUGGCUGCAGGAGAUGGAGCGUGGGCACACGGAGGGCCAUCCCAACCUGGGGACCCUUCCCAUCAGCACUCCUGUUAUACCCGAGGGCAGGUGAAAAUGCCCCAGGGGCAGCCUGGGAAAGGAGGCGCAAUAUGACCACAGCAUGGAGAGUGUGUGAGUGCAAAUAUGUGUGUGUGAUGUGAGCAAGUGCAUGAGUGUGUGAGAGUGAGUGUGUGAACAAAUGUGUACGUGUCUGAGUGUAUGCGGGUGUGAAUGAGUUUGCAUGUGUGAGUGAGUGUGUGUUGGGUGAGAAGGGUAGAUCCACUCAGCUAGACUGUGAAGAUGGAUGGAUCACAAUAGCCAGCUCGUGUAGUUUUUCUCUACAUCAGUUUGCGCAUCAGGUCAUUUUGUUCAUUUGUCUUAACACUAGCUCAUAGGCGUCAUCUUCAGUGUUGCUCAGCAGAGCAGAGGGAAAGCCUCCUACAUGAGUGUUCCAGAAUAGUCUCUUCCACACACAGCGAUGGCUCUAUAAACACAGGUCACGGCAAGGGGUGAAAGGCCCCAAGUGAAGAAUCGUCGUAAUUCAAGAAUAAGGAAGCAGGACCAAAGAGAGUGGGAUGGGUUUUAGGAGAAGAGUUGCCCGUUAGAACCAUGUGUAGGCUCUUGGGGAUGUAGCUCACGUGAGGAGCACGGGAAGGCAGAGCACACAGCCCAAGGUUCAAGUUCGCGGACUUUCUAAGUCCCUCAAUGUUGCAGUAGUGAUAACAUGAAGUCAAACUCCCACAGGAAACCUACGUGUAAUUGCAUGUAUGUCAACCGUCAGAACAUUUGGAAAGCUUUUAUCAACUUAGUCUGGCCCCCUUGGAGAGCGGCCUCUCCUCCCCUCCGCCCAGGGCGGUGAAGAGUCAGGGUCCCACGAGGAGGACCGAGGAAAUGGGGGGACGAGCCUCGGCAGACACGUGCUGCCAGCCCUGCCCACAGGCCAAUGCUGGGCCCUGUCCCCCUGUCCCUGCUCUGCGGGAGCAGUGUCAGAGCCGGGCAGGACAGCUGCGUCUCCCGCAGGAGAUGCCUCGCUAUCCUGAGGUGCAGUCGGGUUCGAGAACACGGGGUUAAUGGUCUCUACGAUGCUGUAAAACAUUAAGAGUCUAAGUUCCACCUUUCACUGCAGAGAGAUUUCUCUUAAUUUGUCUAAAACUUCCCUUUCCAGCUAAAAGGUGGGCAUCAGGGGACAGGGGAGGUGAGAGGAGCCCCCUCUAAAUGACACACACUACUUAAUAGUCACUGAGUCCUUCGCAGGCAUCAGACACCACGGGAGCACUAUGGGACCAUCCUGUGAAAUCCCACAGCAUCUGUGGGAGACAGCACUCUGCUCGGGGAAACCGAGACUCAGAGGGGUUGGGCACUUUGCCCACGUAAGCAAGGACUGGGAGAGAUGCACAUCUCAGACCUGCCUCCAAACCCGCCUCAGUUUCCAUCCUGGCUCCACCGUGUACUAGUCGCCUCACCCUGGGAGGGUGGCUUUAGCUCAUCUGUAAAAUGAAGAAAAUAUUAGUACCAAAGUAUGCACCCCAUGGGCUUGUCGUGAGAGCUUUAAAUGAAUCAACGUGAGCAAAAAGCUGAGACCAGCGCCCAGAACAUGGUCAGCCCUCUGAAAACACCGGCUAUUAGUCUGCUUACCUCUACUGUCUCCUGUUUGGGGAAUGGCAAGCAAGGCCCUGUUCAUGUUUUCUACCCUCUUACGAAUUUAAACUGGGGCCUCGUCUUAGUCUGCUCGAGCUGCCAUAUCAAAAUCUCACAGACUGGGUGGCUUACACAGCAGAUUUUACUUCUCACGGUUCUGGAAGCUGGGAGUCCGAGAGCAAGGUGCUGGCUGGUUGGGCCCAGACAGCUGCCUUCUUGCCAUGUUCUCCUGGGGUCCAGGGAGAGCAAGCCCUCUGGUGUCUCUUCCCGUAAGGGCACUGACCCCAUUGUACCAGGGCCCCACCCUCACGACCUCAUGUAGCCCUAAUUACUUCCUCCAGACAUAGUCACACUGCGGGUUCGGGCUUCAGCAUAUGAGUGGGGUGGGGGUGGGGGUGCACAAUUCCACGCACAGUGGCCUUUGCAGGCUUUCCCAGCAGAAUAGGAGACAUCUCCUCUUUCACCUGGUCACUCGCCUUCCCAAAGGGCGAGGGCAGACCACCUGUCCUCCCUCACAGACUACCUCCAGCCGUGAAUAAACAACAGAUCCCCUGCCUUGAAUACAAGUGUGCGUGAAGGUGGGAUCUGAGGCUCCCUCUUGCCCCUGGGCUGGCUUUGGGCACGGAGACUGGCACACACCCAGCUCAUCUACAUGGCUGAGGAAGGCUGAUGAUGCCAGAUGGGCCAGUGAAGACAGUGCCCCUCCUAAGAGACACCACACAGCACACGGGGUCAGUAGCCAAGCCAUCCCUAACUCCAAUGGUGGUCCAUGGCCACCUUGCUUUGGGGCCACUUCGGAGCCCAUCACACGGGGCCACGCCUUUGGUGGGAGCCUCUCUCCCGGGGCUGCGCCUUCUCUCCCUCCCUGAGGGCAGGGCUUCGGGCCUUGGUUCAGGGCUCCUCCCUGGCCCCUCUGCUUGACUUUCCAUUCCUUUCCCCAGGGCCAGGGAGGAGACUCAAUGUCCCAUCUGUGAUGGGCUCCUCGCCACGUUCCCUCAGCCAGCAUGGGUGGAGGAGCGGAGACGGCUGCCCUGGGCAGAUGCCUUGCUCGCCUUCCUGGACACCUGGACUACCUAUGACGUGGCAGAGGCUCGUUUUCUCAGCGGAGGUGCCGUGAAAUAUGAAAUGGGGGCAAACGGGAAGUUCUGCUGCAGAAAUGGGAAGAUGGGUGGAGUUGGGCACGCAGGUUGGUUCUGUCUCCCCCUCCAAAUGUGUACAUAUCUUGGGGCAAAACUUUAACAUUUUACAAUUACGUUCUCACUGAUCUUAUUUGAGUCACACAGUAAUAGUAAGAUAUCUCAAGGUACAAAUUCUUCUCCUAUCAGACCGGAAAGGUCUACAAAGCCCUAAAUUUGGGCAUCCAGCCUGCGUCCUUUGCUUGCUGCAGGCAGGGAUCCCUUCCACGGCACCCACCAGGGCAUGUUCUUACCAAGCCCAGCUCGCUGUCCACUCCUGCCGCCCUCCCAGGCCGGGUCCCCCACAGCCCACUCCCCCAGGCCUCAGCCCUGGCGUCCUCCAGGCAGGGCCUGCUCACAAUAUAACUCAAGGCUCUGAAUGCUUGUCACGCAUCUACCGUCGCUCAGACCAGCAGUGUCUGGCAGUGACAACAUGGGCCCGCGUGUGGCGAAGACGUGUGUGGGACAGAUGAGAAGUGAGAUUGGAGCAAUCCGGGCCAGUGGAGAUGUUGCCUCAGACUCCAGCAAAUCUCGCUUGACGGUGCAGCCUUCCAUGGCUCUUGCUCUGCUCGUCUCGGCCUCACUUGGCUCUGAAACCACAUCACCCCAGCUCCAAGCACGACUCAACCCUCUACCUGCUGUGUGACAUUGAGCAAGUUUAUUAAUCUCUGUGCUUCAGUUUCCUCACUUGCAAAAUGAGGAUAAUAAUAUUGUUAACACCUAAUCAAGCUGUUAUGAGGAUUAAGGAAUGAAGGAAAUCAUAAAAAGUGCUAGAUAGUUUCCUCCACAUAAGUCUUUCGUGGAUUUAUUCCUAGAUUCCUUACUUUUUUGUUACUACAAAUGAAAAAAUUAAAUUUCACUUUUUCUAACUACCAGUUGUUGGUAUAUGAAAAUACAACUUAUUUUGGUAUAUUGUAAAUUUAUUACUUUUAAUAGCUUAUAAAUUUCCUUAAAUUUUCUAUGUAUACGGCCAUGUCACACUUGACUGAUGACUCUUUC
rnacentral:lncRNA from 1 species